rnacentral:lncRNA from 1 species
GCGAGGGACAAGGCCCUGAUGUAACACACAGCCCAGCGAGGGACAAGGCCCUGAUGUAACACACAGCCCAGCGAGGGACAAGGCUCUGAUGUAACACACAGCCCAACGAGGGACAAGGCCCUGAUGUAACACACAGCCCAGCGAGGGACAAGGCCCUGAUGUAACACACAGCCCAGCGAGGGACAAGGCCCUGAUGUAACACACAGCCCAGCGAGGGACAAGGCCCUGAUGUAACACACAGCCCAGCGAGGGACAAGGCCCUGAUGUAACACACAGCCCAGCGAGGGACAAGGCCCUGAUGUAACACACAACUCUCAGCGUCUCAAAAAAAUCUAUUAACUUCUUAAGGAUCUGACACUUAAAAAAUAAAUUAAAAAAUGUCCUAAAAUGACGUAGCCAAAUCUAACUGGCUGUAGCUCUGGACCUGAAGUAAGGAUAUGCAUAUUAUUGAUACCACUUGAAAGGAAAUACUUUGAAGUCUCAAAAAGCUGUCUCCCUUUUCUAUGAAGAGCACCGUGAGUUGUGACACGGGUCGUUGAGAUGGCAACUGAGAUUUAAUAACAGCGCCUGAUAAAAAUACUUUUUACUGUUAGGGAGGACCUGUUGGUCCCUCCAUUAAAGAGACUGUCAAUGUUCAGACUGAACCCUUAACUGACGCCUGAGCUGGGAAAAUAGAUUCAAGUUGUUCAAUCUAGUAGCGCCAUCUAUUGACUACAGAAAGUAUAGCAACAAGUAAUGUCUAUUUUAAUGGUCGUGUCUGUCAGAACCAAAUUCCAUCCUUCCUUUGGUUUGUUACCUAUUGUCUUAACCUUUACCAGUAUGUAUGGAGGGGUAGAAGAUGGUGGCCUGUAUCACAUCCUCACCUAACUGAGGUUUAUUUCAAUCAAUGAAGAGAGGUAAUAUGGUGUCAGUGAAUCAAGUCUUGUCAUUUAGAUAGAGCCUCAGCAAGAGAACAGAGACAUGUUACUGAAGAAAGAGAGUAGUGUUCAUCAGAUGAAAUGUUCGGGGGGGUUUUUCACCAUCUCCUGGCAGAAUUGUGGUCAAAUCAUGUUCUAUGUGCCAUAUACAGAGGCUUUCAUCAUGGGGUCUGUCCAACACAGCGAUAAGAGUUGGAGAGGUUUUAUUAGUGAAGGAUACCGUGGUCAGUCAGAGAGGUUUUAUUAGUGAAGGAUACCGUGGUCAGUUGGAGAGGUUUUAUUAGUGAAGGAUACCGUGGUCAGUCAGAGAGGUUUUAUUAGUGAAGGAUACCGUGGUCAGUUGGAGAGGUUUUAUUAGUGAAGGAUACCGUGGUCAGUUGGAGAGGUUUUAUUAGUGAAGGAUACCGUGGUCAGUCAGAGAGGUUUUAUUAGUGAAGGAUACCGUGGUCAGUCAGAGAGGUUUUAUUAGUGAAGGAUACCAUGGUCAGUUGGAGAGGUUUUAUUAGUGAAGGAUACCGUGGUCAGUCGGAGAGGUUUUAUUAGUGAAGGAUACCGUGGUCAGUUGGAGAGGUUUUAUUAGUGAAGGAUACCGUGGUCAGUUGGAGAGGUUUUGUUAGUGAAGGAUACCGUGGUCAGUCGGAGAGAUUUUAUUAGUGAAGGAUACCGUGGUCAGUCGGAGAGAUUUUAUUAGUGAAGGAUACCGUGGUCAGUCGGAGAGAUUUUAUUAGUGAAGGAUACCGUGGUCAGUUGGAGAGGUUUUGUUAGUGAAGGAUACCGUGGUCAGUCGGAGAGAUUUUAUUAGUGAAGGAUACCGUGGUCAGUCGGAGAGAUUUUAUUAGUGAAGGAUACCGUGGUCAGUCGGAGAGGUUUUAUUAGUGAAGGAUACCAUGGUCAGUCAGAGAGGUUUCAUUAGUGAAGGAUACCGUGGUCAGUUGGAGAGGUUUUAUUAGUGAAGGAUACCAUGGUCAGUCGGAGAGGUUUUUCAUUAGUGAAGGAUACCGUGGUCAGUCAGAGAGGUUUCAUUAGUGAAGGAUACCGUGGUCAGUUGGAGAGGUUUUAUUAGUGAAGGAUACCGUGGUCAGUCAGAGAGGUUUCAUUAGUGAAGGAUACCGUGGUCAGUCGGAGAGGUUUCAUUAGUGAAGGAUACCGUGGUCAGUCGGAGAGGUUUUCCUCCCUUGUUUUCUUCUCCUCCUUUCUGCCAUUUUCACACUCAGUCCAUCUCACCACAUCUCUAGCAUGACAGUAGACUCUCCAAAGCACUGCAGUCAAACUGCAAGUCUCAAAACUAAAUGAAAGUAACUUCAGCCAUAACCGAAUGUCAAGCAGUAAUGAUAUCAAUGUUGGAUUUUUUUUUAUCUUGUGUAUGGUCUCAAAUAUUGCAUGUCGAUAAAUUCUAAUGUAUCACACUUGACUUUUAUUUUUUUUGUUCUCUUCUAUAUUCUGAAUUCUGUGUUUUAUUGUUUCACCUUCAUGUAUGACUAGUUCUGUUCUCUGCUUCUGCUUAAACUCACCGGAUGGAAUUACCUAUAGAUUCUGUCUAUACAACAUACUGCUUAUAGAUUCUGUCUAUACAGACCAAGUGAGAGCAACAUACUGCUUAUAGAUUCUGUCUAUACAACAUACUGCUAUAGAUUCUGUCUAUACAACAUACUGCUCAUAGAUUCUGUCUAUACAACAUACUGCUAUAGAUUCUGUCUAUACAACAUACUGCUAUAGAUUCUGUCUAUACAACAUACUGCUAUAGAUUCUGUCUAUACAACAUACUGCUAUAGAUUCUGUCUAUACAACAUACUGCUAUAGAUUCUGUCUAUACAACAUACUGCUAUAGAUU